rnacentral:rRNA from 1 species
UGCGUAGGCGGCCGUGUAAGUCUGGCGUGAAAGCCCCGGGCUCAGCCCGGGAAGUGCGCUCGAAACUGCGCGGCUCGAGUGCCGGAGGGGAGAGUGGAAUUCCUGGUGUAGCGGUGAAAUGCGUAGAUAUCAGGAGGAAUACCGGUGGCGAAAGCGACUCUCUGGACGGCAACUGACGCUGAGGCACGAAAGCGUGGGGAGCAAACA